UACGUAGGGGGCAAGCGUUGUCCGGAAUCAUUGGGCGUAAAGCGCGUGUAGGCGGUCCGGUAAGUCCGCUGUGAAAGUCGGGGGCUCAACCCUCGGAUGCCGGUGGAUACUGUCGGGCUUGAGUACGGAAGAGGCGAGUGGAAUUCCUGGUUUAGCGGUGAAAUGCGCAGAUAUCAGGAGGAACACCAAUUGCGAAGGCAGCUCGCUGGGACGUUACUGACGCUGAGACGCGAAAGCGUGGGGAGCAAACAGG
rnacentral:rRNA from 1 species